rnacentral:lncRNA from 1 species
AGUCGAGGAGCUUUUGUCGUGAGUAUCUUUGAAUCACAGACGGCGCCAACUGAUGGGGGUGAAACCCGACCAGUACUCCAAGACGCGCAAGCAAGCGCCAAGCGGGGAACUCCGCGGGAAACCGGACCGGAACUCAAGUGUGCAGAGCUCUGCUUCGCUAGCAAUCCUUCUUCUCCAAAUGACCUGCCUUUAAUGAGUGGGGGGUGCUCUCUAUUUAUAGGGGUUCUUAUGGGGGCAAUAUGGUCAUUUGGGCAGUAACCGCCUAACUGCCCAACUGACCAGAUUGGGUCCAGGGGUCGACUUUCCAGAGAUCGACUUUCUGGGGGUCGACUUUUCCUGGUGAUCGACUUUACUCAAAAGUCGAUCCCAGGGAAGUCGAUCCUCAGGAAAGUCGAUCUUCCUAGGAUUCGACCUGGGACCUUCCCAACCCUAGAAUAGAUACCUCAACUCAUCUUAGGCUAUCCGGACUUCUAGUUGCUGGUAGGUUGUGACCGUGUUCGGGAUACUGUAUCACCAAAUAGUAUAGAUGGCGGAAAUCCGCCAUACAAUGUUUAUUACAUUUUAAAAAAAAACAGGAUUCUAUAUUUUGCGUUCGAAUCGUUGUUUUUUGAAAUAGAAAUCGAUAUUUGAGAAAACGAUUUUGAAAUUGAAAUUGAAAUCGAUGUUUUUUAUUAAAAAGAAAUUAAAUUACAGAAUCGUUAAACAUUCGAAGUUUGAAUAAGAAAAAAAAAAUCGUUUAAUCAACACUCGUCUGAAAGCGAGUCUUCUGAAUCAGAAUCAGAAAUAUCUGAUCCGAAUGCAGACGGUAUAGUGGACUUUGAAAUAGAAGCCAUCUGCGUCAUGUCGAGUCCAGAAGUCUUCAAAGUCUUAUUGAGUUUCUUCAUAUAAGAUUUCAUAGCAUUGAACUUCUUCUUGUAUUUGGAGACAUCUUUUUGACUCUCGUUACACUUGUUCUGAAAAUGAAAACAAAAAUGAGUUCGAUAAUCAACAAAAUUAUUGAAAUAUAUUGUAAAUACCUCCAAUUCUUUGAAUUUUUCCGACCAAACUGCAUCUGGUGUUGCAUCAGUAGUCGUGUUUUCGGAGACCGGCUCUUUUCCUUUCCAAUUUGGAGAAGCUCAUCUUUCGUUCGUUGUGCUCACCAUACUUGCAGCUUCUCCAAUUCCUAUUAUUUGAUUCUUCUAUUUUUUCCGAAAGUCUUGUUGACCGUCGCUUCGAUAAAUUGCUGCAUUAUAAAAAAAUAAAAAAAAUAAUAAAUGUGAAAUAUAUUUAAAAUAAUCAAUGGAACUUACAAAUGGAGUCAUUGAUUCAGAUUCAGCCCACGAUUUUGCCUCUUGACUUUUGAUAAAUUCCGUGGUUUCAAGCUGAAAGAAUAACAAAAUCAAACAAUAAUAAUAGAAAUUAUAAAAUAUAAAUAAUUUUAAAAAAAUACUUACAACUUUAUCGCUUCCCUUAUAUGUCAUUUGUAAAGUCUCUGACCAAACUUCGACUUCACUCCUUCCUUGUUGCAUCUAUAUUCACAUAAUUCAUUAAUAUAUAAAAAAAUAGAUAUAAAUUAUAAAGAAAUUACCAAUUCAUGACGUCUUUGCGCUAAUCCUUUUGAACCAUCGUGAUGUGUCAUUUGAUUCGCUCGGUUCGCGAUAUUUAUCUCGGAAAUUUGCUGAAAUUAUAAAAAAUAAUAAGUUUCAAAAUUUAUUAAUAUAAUAAAUAUAUAUAUAUACAUAUACGUACCUUUCCUUUUUCCGAUCGAUGUUGUCUCAAUUUAUUCAGAAAUUGAGGUGUGCUGACAUACGGUGGAAGAGCCGCUAAAAUGUCUUCUUCUCUCAUAUCAGGAUCAGAGCCAUAAGUUUUAACCAAAGAAUUAUGGUUGCUCCUCCAGAGUUUGUUCAGCCUACCAUUGAUAUAAGUUUGUGCAGCUUUGCUUCCACUUAAAUCAUAUUCAGCCUACAUAUUCAAAACUUAUAAGUUUUGGAAAAUUAAUAAAUUAUUAAAAAAAUAUAUAUACUUACAGUUAAUAUUUUUAACGCGUCCUGAAAAUUUUGUUGUGGUUGAUGACGCCACUCAAUGUCGUACGGGAAGAGAGUAUGGUCUUUUGCUAAAAGAGCCAUUCUUGUCGUUAAUUUCUUCGCCAUUUCUUCCGUCGCUUGGUUUGUGUUGUCAAACAUUACCUUCUAUUUCGUACCUUUUUCUGGAUGGUUAUGGGGGUGGUCUUUUGUGCGACCACGACCCUUCUUCUGUGGAGGCACAUUCGAUGUGGAUGGUCUCGCAUCUAAUUAAUUUACAUAUUUAAGAAAUAAUUUUUUAUAUAAAUAAUGAUAAUAUUUAAAAUAUAAAUAAUAAACUGACCACUUGAACUGGACUCUUCAAAAGAGCGACGGAAUGUAACCAUCGUCAGUGCCAUGAAUGGUGUGAUAACACCGAGCAGAACGAAAAAAGUAAACAUAAUAUGAAAUAUUUAAAUUUGAAAAUAAAAUUAGUUAUUUUAAAUACAUAGCCAGACACCCGUAUUUAUCCUAAAAAUUAAAUUUUUUUAUCGAAUUAUAAUUAAUUAGAUAAAAAUUAAUUGACUAUUACAAUAUUAGUUAUAGUUCAAUUAAUAUGAAAUUCAAUUUUUUUGGGAAAAUCUAGCUAAUUAUUGAACUAUUCCGAAUCCAUUUCAUAAACGACUUUCUUCGGAGUUGCUGGUUGCGGAACUGGAGGGGCCGGUGCUGGACGAACAGGUGCCGGCGGUGCGGGAUAGGCCGGUGCUGGACGAACAGGUGCCGGCGGUGUGGGAUAGGCCGGUGCUGGACGAACAGGUGCUGGUGCUGGAUCAACCGGAAGAUAAAACCGGAAAGCAUCUUGGGGAUUGGGUGGUAGAGCCCUCCUACGAGGUAAUUGCUUCACUCUACGUGACAUUUCUUAAAAUCUAAAAAAUUAAUUAAUUAAUUAAUUUAUUAUUAAAAAUGAAUAAUUAAAUAAUCAUUCAUUUUUAAACAAAUAAUAUUUUUAUUAAUUAACAAAUUUAAUUUCUAUAAUUAUUCAUUAACAUUCAAUUUAAUUUCAAUUAAUUAACAUUUAUUAACAAAUAAUUAGCAAAUUAAUAAUUUUUAGUACAAUUUAAAAUCAUUCAAUUUCAUAAUUAUUCAUUAACAUUUCUAUAAUUUCAUGCAAAUUAAUUAAUCAUUAUUAAUUCAAUUUAAAAUCAUUCAAUUUAAUUAUUAUUAAUUAAUUAAUAAUUUUAUGCAAAUUAAUCAUUAUUGAUAAAAUUUAAAAUGAUUCAAUUUCAUAAUUAUUAAUUAACAAUUUAAUAAUUUCAUGCAAAUUAAUUAUUAUUAAUAGAAUUUAAAAUCAUUCAAUUUAAUAAUUACUAAUUAACAAAUUUAUAUUUACAUGCGUGCAAAUUAAUUAAAUAUUUUUAAAACAAAAUGAUUAAAUAAACAUUUAUAAUUUCAUACCGCAAUAGAGCUUAAUUCAAUCUAAAUUUUUGGAUUCUUGAUUUUUCAAAACCUACAUCAAGUCAACAACACAAUAAUUUAAUUAGUUAAUUAAAACAUUAUAUAAUUUAUUUAUUUAAUCAAAUCAAUUUAUAAAUUAUUUAAAAACAAUCAAUUAAAUAAUUAAUUAAAACAUUUAUAAACAGUAAAUUAAAUAAUUCAUAAAUUAUAAUUCCAAUCAUGCAAGUUUGGAUGGUAGAGCCCUCUUAAGAGGUAAUUACUUCACUCUACGUGGCAUUUUUAAAAUUUAAAUUUUUAAUUACUUAAUUAAUUAUUAAACAAAUAAUUAAUUAAAUAAUCAUUCAUUUUUAAACAAAUAAUAAUUUUAUUAAUAAAAACAAUCAAUUAAAUAUUUAUUACAUAAGAAUUAUUUUAUAAUUUAAUGCAAAUUUUUCAUUAUUUAAAACAAUAUGUUAAUUACUUAUUUAAUUAAUUAAAACUUCGUUUUAAUUAUUUUAAAAAAGUAAAUAAAAUAUUUUUUUAAUUAAUUAAAACAAAAUAAUAUAAUAUUUCAUGCAAAUUAAAUAAUAUUUCAUUUUAAUUAAAACAAAAUUAUUUCAUUCAAAUAAUUCAUUAAUAAUUUAUUUCAUGCAUAUUAUUUAUUUCAUGCAUAUUUAUUUCAUGCAAAUUAUUAGUUUCAUGUAAACUUAAUAAUUUAAAUUAAAUAAUUUAAAUAUAUAUGAUUAAAAAUUUAUUUUUAACAUUAUAAUUUAAUAUUCAUUAAAAUUUGAUUAAUAUUCAAUAAUUAAAUAAAUAAUUUUAAUAUUUACCGUAAUAUAGCUUAAUUACUUCAAUCCGAAAUUUAUACGAAUUCACGAUUUCACAAAACCUACAACAAAUGGACAACACAAUAAUUAAUUAAAAAUAUAUUAUAUAACUUUUGUAAAAACAGUAAAUUAAUUAAUUAAAAUUAAAUCAAUCAUAAAACAAUCAUAAAACAAUCAUAAAACAAUCAUAAAACAAGAAAUCAAUAACAAAAGAAAUCAAUAAAACAAUCAUAACAACAUAAUGAUAACCAAUAUAAACAUAAUAAACAAUCACAACAAUAUAAACAAUAUAAUCAAUAAACACCAACAUAAACAAUAUAGACACCAACAAAAACAAUAUAAACACCAACAAAAACAAUAUAAACACCAACAAGUACAUAUAAAAUGGUGGUAGGAUGUCUACUAUCGAAUCAAUAACAAGAAAUCAAUAACAAAAAAAUUCUAAUCACACCAUUCGUAUUUCUUUGAUUAUUACAAAAUCGAGAAAGAAUUGAUUUCUUGGGCACUUCUAAUCUUAUUGAUUUUUUUGUAAUAAACACCAAUCAAAGGGAUUACUAACCAUCUUAAAUUACUAACCAUCAAUAACAAAAAAUCAUUAACAAAAAAUUACAGUACAUAUACAAAAUCGAAAAUAAUAUAGGAACCCUAAAAAUCAUUCAACAAAACCAUCUUAAAUUAAGGAAAUUAUAAACAUUCAUACCAAGUAAGAUGAAAUCAACCUAUAAAUGAAAUCAACAAAAUACAAAUGAAAUCAACAAAAAUGAAAUCACAAAUAAUAAUCAACAAAUAAUAAUCAACACAAAUGAAAUCAACAAAAUAAUUAACCAAACCCAUAAAUGAAAUACCUACACAGUCGGCGAUGAUGGAGACGGCGAACACCGGCGGGCGAACACACGGCGAUCGCGAUCGGAGGAGGAGUCGGGAGUCGGCGGCGAAAUCAGACAGCGUGGGAGUCGGGAGACGGCAGCCGGCAGCACUUCAAAAACAGACAGACGCGUUCUGUCUGGAUUUGGGGUUUUUAAUAAACCCCAAAACUUACAUGGCGGAUUUCCGCCAUGUAAGUACACUUAAGUGCCGCCAGCACUAAGGUGAAAGUCUGCCCAAUCGAAAUUUGGGCGGGCUUUUUCCGCCCGAGUCCCCGAAUACUUAACAUGGCGGACAUCCGCCAUGUUAAGUCAAUUUAAUCGGGUAAUCGAGCUGAAAAUUGGGGGCCAUUCGAAAUUUUGGGCAGGAUAGUUUAGAUGGCGGAUUUCCGCCAUCUAAACACCGCCAUCGAAAGUAAUUUCGAACCGCCGUCGAGCCAAAACUUUUCCUCGGCGGACUCGAUGAAUAGAUGGCGGACAUCCGCCAUCUAAACAACUGGAUUAUUGAUGGCGGAUUUCCGCCAUCUAAAGACCGCCAUACAAGGUCCUUUUUUUUGUAGUGCGUCUAUGGACUAAACAGUGAUGUGAAAAAAGAUGAGGUUAAGAGGUUUGUCAAGAAAUUUAAAUUGGAUCUAUUUGGUCUGGCCUAUAUGAGACCAAAAUUAAGAAGGUCAACUUUGCGCAUUGCAGUAAGAUAUUUGGACAAAAAUUCUCGGUGAUGUCGAAUAGGGUCAAUGAAAAAAACCCAGAACAGAACUCUAUCUGGUUGGUAUGAGAUGUGAAUAUUUGGGAGAUUGAGAGCACCAUCUUGCACGAUUAAUUCAUACACUGCUUUGCCAAAAACAAAGGGGGGUGGGUUAACUAUACAUGUCACACUAGUGUAUAGCUCAACCGACUACAAAAAGAGGGAUAAACUGUGGGACGAGCUGAUAAAACUAAAUAGAACGAUUAUUGGGCCAUGGAUCCUUCUGGGUGACUUCCCUACCCUGUCAAAAAUAGAGAAGACAGGGUAGGAGAACAUGUCAGAGUCUCUAUGCCAAACAUAAGGAGAUUCAACCAAACAAUAGACAAUGCAUGUCUCCAAGAGAUUUUCAUUCUAGGUAACUCAACAACAUGGACAAAUAAAAUGGUAGGAGAGCAUAGGAUCAACAGUAGGAUCAAUAAGGGGUUUGGGAAUGUUGAACUCUUUAAUCUAUGACCCGAUAUGAGGUUGAACAGCGACCCUGAAGGCACAUCCGACCACCGUAGUUUAACCAUCGAUCUUAGGAACGUUCAAGAGAAAAAAAUCCUUUCAGGUUUACCAACUCAUAGCUUAGAAAAGAAGAAUUACAAGGGAUAGUCAGAAAUGCUUGGCCCGAGACGAUGUAUAGGGACGGGGACGAGAAUUUUCCUACUUCGGUUAGAAAAAUCCUCCGGGUAGCGGGUACGGGGACGGGGAAUCUCACCCCUAUUUAUUAUGAUUUAUGGACUCAUAUCACAUUAUGUUUCUAAGUUUAUUAUACAGGUAAAUAACCCAAGACUUACGCGAGUUAUAACAGAGAAGCUUGGGGUGCAAACUUCAAUAGUUUCGAUUGAAAAUUAAACUACAUUGGGCUAAUUCGAUAUAGGCCGCAUACUGAGCCGAAUCAACAAAUAAUUAAUAUUGUAAAAUAAAUAUAAUAAUCGUUAGUUGAUUAUACAUGUAAUGAUAGUUAGUUGAUUCAAUUAGCUGUUAAUGUAGUUAAUGAUAGUUAGUUGAUUCAAUUAGUUGUUAAUGAUAGUUAGUUGAUUUAAUUAGUUGUUAAUGAUAGUUGAUUCAGUUAGUGUGAAGGUUGAUCCUUGGUAAAACAUCUCAGAUAUUGUUCCAAACAUAUAUUUACAACUUUCGAUUGUCAGAGUUUUUCCAUGGAAGAGAAAAAGAUGUCUGGAGCACACCAGGGUUUAAGACCCACUAUGUAAGAACGAUGAGGCAUAGAUCGUUUUGGGAAAUAUCGAGUCAGUCUUCAAAGGUUGUUGAAAGCCUAAACGAUCGUAAGAUCACGUGGUUGGAUCAAUGCGGAGGGUGUGAGGUGGAUCGUAUGUUAUCACACUCUUUUUUUGUGUUAAAAUUUAUAUAUUACCAGAUAGUUUUUUUACCAGAUAUAUUACCAGAUAGUUUUUUUAUAGGUCUGGAUUGGAUCCGAGUCCAUAUUUUCCUUCACCCAGAUCCGGCUCAGAUCUGGACCAACUUCAUGGGUCCGGGUCCGGAUCUAAGCCAGCCCAAACCCGUCCCAUUUACACCUCUAAUUACAUAGGUUUUUAUUAAAAAAAAAGUAAAAUAUUAGUUUUUUGGUUAUUCGAAUCGAAUUUAGUCGAAUUCGGAUAUGGAAUUUGAAAUUCGAAUAACAAUCGGACGAAUUCGGAUUAUCCAGAUAUUAAACGAAUUCGAAUACAGGGGUAUCUAGUGUAAUCUAUUAAUAUAAAUUAUCAUAUCAAAUCACAUCAAAUAAUAGCAAUAACUCCUAAUUGAUGAUAUGGAAAUAUGAUUCAAGAAGAUCCAUAAAUAUGAUUCCCUCCCUAACUCAUUCUCUCAAUAUAUAUAUAUACACCAGGGAUCAGAGACGGCCGUCCGUAUCAUGCGGCCGUCGACGGUAAGGUUACCUCCACCUCUAACUUACAACUGUGAUUUGUGAAAACUAAGGGCAAACAUGAAACCUCCACCUCCACCAUUUGCCGAUGGUUCUAUAAAACUAUCUGAUUUCAUGUUGCAGUUCCAAGCUGUGAACGAUCGGUGACAUUUGGAAUUUCAGAGCGGAGAUGGCGUGUUUGUCCCCUUUUCUACCGAUGAAAUCGAAAACCUCGUCUUUCUUUCGUCGGUAUACUGGAACGCCGUUCGAUCAGCAGAGACUCUCGAUCUGAUCGUCCAAAGCUACGACGAGGUAAUUCCAGAUUCCGAUUCUUUUGAUGUUCUCGUAAAAGAACGAUAAGGUACCCUUUACAUUUGAAUUUGCCAGUGUCACCAUCACUUCUUUUUCGACAGAUAUCUCCCGGAGCAACUUCGAUAAUAUUGGAUUCACAUAUUCGUCGGGGACGACGGUUGGAUUCUUUUGUAACGACUUCACUUUGCCGUAAGGACCUGCUUUUGGACCCUUGUCGGAGAAAACCAACAGCUGUUUUUCCGCCUCGUCUUUGCUUUCCACCAAAGCACGUAACUUCAAAUUCAGCUCCGAUGCUUGCUUCUUUAAUCCUGCAUUUUUCUCAGACAGCGCUGCUAUCUGCGACCUUAAAUCCGCGACAUUUGCAACCGAUUCACACGAAGAUCGAUCCACGACCUAAAUUACAGAAAUCGAUAAAAUCGCGUGCGAUUUUCGUGGAUCAAAUCGAAAAGGAAGAAGAAGAAAAGUGAAAAUUCAUACCAGAGAAGAUCGAACAUUGCGGGCAGUCUGUAGAACUUUGCCGUCGAUGUAGAAUAGCCCGUCGGGAUAUAGAUAGGCGAGAACACACCCGAUCUGAACACCGAUCACGAUCGCCUUGGUGACUCUGAAUCGGAGUGAUGUAGACAGAGUUCCGAGUUGUGAUCGCGGAACACUUUUAUGUUACGAUCGCUGAACCGAUCGUAGACAGAGUUCCGAGCCCCGGAACCGAUUGCAGUUCAACGGAGCCACUCUUUCACUUUUGGACGAUCGGUGAUGUUGCAGUUCCGUCUCCAAAAGUGUCGGUGAUGGACCUUACUGCUCGGAACUGCAACCCGUCGCGAAACAUCCGCUGGUCAUCGCGAUUGCAGUUCACCCGAGGAACACCCGCUGGUCAUCGUGAACUGUAACACAUCGGGAUUCGAACGGACGGCCGGAUUGGAGAUCCGCAAAAGCGACCGUCCGAACAAGGGGCCGUCCCAGAAUCGCGCCGUAUAUAUAUAUCCACCAAUUCAUAUCAAUAUCUUCACAGAAAAAAAAAUAGAUUUCAAUUGCAAUAUCUUGAAAAUGCAUUUCACCAAGUGUUUUUUCAUACUCUUUGUAGUUAUUGGUGUUCUCACCAACGGUUCGGCAAGAGCAACAAGAGAAGCUAUGUUUGGAAUGGAGAAAACUGGAACGAUCAGCGGUACUUAGGAGGGAGAUGGAGAUGAAGUUGAAGUGAAGGAAACUAUACGAACCCAUGAAGAUCCAGUGAUUUGUCAGAAUGGAGGAUGUAGAGUGCUUGGUAAGUGUGUAAUAUGUCCAUCAGAAACAGCAACGGUUGGAGAAAUAGCUUGAAUGAAGUUGAAUUUCGUGAGGAAUUCGAAACAGUAAUCGAUGUUUGAUUGAAAUAAUCCAAAAGAUUAAUGAAUUCAGAUAGAUAAAUCCCCCAAUUCCAUUUCCAUAUACAAUUUGAAGUUUUUUGUUCAAAGAAAUUGAUUUUAAAUAACUCGUGCAAAAUCUCUUUAAUCAUACUGUUGGUGUGCGAGCUCGCCGGAUCAAGCUUGUCGACCUAACCUAUUACAAGUGUUAUUCCUCCGAUUGUCAUCCCCCUCCCCUGAUUCUGGGCCUCAUGGGUCAGCUGGCCCACCUGCGCCUUCGGGCCCAUUCGUGCGUCUGGACCUCGAAGGCCGCUCGUUCGGUUCAUGGUACCAACAGUACUCCCCCCUUCCUCGAUGGGCCCGGGCUCGGGGGCCGUCUGUUCGUGCUUGGCCUCCAACAUCCCCUCUUUACUAGUCUUAAAGACUCCUCGAGGUUCGAGCUACCCCCCUUCUCCCCUCUUAUAAAUAGAGCGCUCGCUACUUUGGUUUCUCAUUCCUUCCUUCUUUCGCAAUGAGCAUCCAGAAUAUUCUCGAAGAGUAUGGCCGCGAAGUGCAACUCUAGCACGCCGCGUGGGCUAUGUGUCUGCUGUCGCCCGCUGAUGUCCCCAAUAGCGUGGCCUUGGCUGAGACUCAACGUCUCAACGCUGUGCUGAUCGACGUCCACCGCCGUCUCUCUCAGAUCCGUCGCUCCGAUCUCCUUGCGAGCCGGCCUGUUGUCGGCCCUCCUGAUGCCGCUCCUACUGCUGCCUCGGGCUCCAUUGGGACCUCGCACGCCUUUCACGCUCACGGCACGAUUGCGGUUCCUGCUGCUGCUCCUGCCGAGGCUACCGGCCGCCGUCGUCGGUCGCGCGGCCACCAUCGCUCCCGUGGGUCCUCGUCCCUUCCGGCUACUGACCUACGUCAUUUCUUGUCGGGGUCCCCGAAGUCGGGCCGUUAGGCCCGCCCUGGAGCUAUUCGCGCCCACUCCCAUGCCCUCUAGGGUGGUGGGCUUGCCUUCGUGGGGCGGCGCCCGGGAUGCCCUGACGCCCUCUUUUAUUCUCUUUACUUGCUGUAUUCAUACUUUGUUGUUUUUUUUCUUUUUUUCCCCGCCGUACCACCGGCUAUUGUAACCCUUUCUUUGUUUUAGUACUAUGCCUUUUCUUCGUUUUUUCAUGUUUCGCGUUUUGCUUUCGCCCUUGCGUGUUGGUGCAGUUUUACGCUAUUCGGCGUCCUUUGCUGACGUUGCCCGGACCCUUCUCGAGCUUCACCCCCGUUACCAGGGGCAAACCCCUCCUUUGCCGGCGCUCCUCCUUUGUUCCUCCUUCCCCCUUGUCGUGGGGGCCCCCGCUCGUUACGUUGUUUCAUUCGGCCCGCCGACCGGGCCCGUAGGGGACCUUGUUUGGAUGCCCUAGCCCCGUCCUGCCUGCUCUGUUUGGUCGUUGGACACGCAAGGCUCUUUUCCCGACGCCCCUCUAAGGCCCCGCCGUCCGCGUCGGGCGCUAACCUUCACUCUUCUUCCCGAUGGUCUGGGCCGUGGGCUCCCUCGGAGGCUUCCCGGCCCGCCCCGUCCCACCACCUCCAGGUAAACGCGACGCCUCGUCUUCUACUCUCCCCAAUCCCUAUAUAAACUGAUGGGGGUGAAACCCGACCAGUACUCCAAGACGCGCAAGCAAGCGCCAAGCGGGGAACUCCGCGGGAAACCGGACCGGAACUCAAGUGUGCAGAGCUCUGCUUCGCUAGGAAUUCUUCUUCUCCAAAUGACUUGCCUUUAAUGAGUGG